AGCGAACGCUGGCGGCAGGCCUAACACAUGCAAGUCGAACGAACUCUUCGGAGUUAGUGGCGGACGGGUGAGUAACACGUGGGAACGUGCCUUUAGGUUCGGAAUAACUCAGGGAAACUUGUGCUAAUACCGAAUGUGCCCUUCGGGGGAAAGAUUUAUCGCCUUUAGAGCGGCCCGCGUCUGAUUAGCUAGUUGGUGAGGUAACGGCUCACCAAGGCGACGAUCAGUAGCUGGUCUGAGAGGAUGGCCAGCCACACUGGGACUGAGACACGGCCCAGACUCCUACGGGAGGCAGCAGUGGGGAAUCUUGCGCAAUGGGCGAAAGCCUGACGCAGCCAUGCCGCGUGAAUGAUGAAGGUCUUAGGAUUGUAAAAUUCUUUCACCGGGGACGAUAAUGACGGUACCCGGAGAAGAAGCCCCGGCUAACUUCGUGCCAGCAGCCGCCGCCG
rnacentral:rRNA from 1 species